UACGUAGGGGGCAAGCGUUGUCCGGAUUUAUUGGGCGUAAAGAGCGUGUAGGCGGUUUGGUAGGUCCGCUGUGAAAACUCGAGGCUCAACCUCGAGACGCCGGUGGAAACCAUCAGACUAGAGUCCGGAAGAGGAGAGUGGAAUUCCUGGUGUAGCGGUGAAAUGCGUAGAGAUCCGGAGGAACACCAAAGGCGAAGGCAGUGUCCUGGGGAGUACCUGACGCUCAGGUGCGAAAGCCAGGGGAGUGAACGGG
rnacentral:rRNA from 1 species